GCUACUACCUAACAGUAUGGUAGACAUUUGUGAGUGUCUUUGAAGGGGGAGUUUUUUUUUUCUCACCUCUUUUUUCUAGCCCAGCAAAUUUCCAGUUGAAUAAAUGGCCAAGUGGAGUUUCAGCCAUAGUAUUCAAGUCAAGGUUCAACCUUUACAUUCAAGAUUCUACUUGGGAAGAUGUUCUUUUACUCAAGGCCAGUUCCACAUUCAUUCUUGAGGACAAGAA
rnacentral:misc_RNA from 1 species